rnacentral:rRNA from 1 species
GACGAACGCUGGCGGCGCGCUUAACACAUGCAAGUCGAACGGAAAGGCCCUGCUUUUGUGGGGUGCUCGAGUGGCGAACGGGUGAGUAACACGUGAGUAACCUGCCCUUGACUUUGGGAUAACCUCAGGCAACUGGGGCAAAUACCGGAUAGGAGCUCGUGCUGCAUGGUGGGGGUUGGAAAGUUUCGCCGGUUGGGGAUGGACUCGCGGCAUAUCAGCUUGUUGGUGGGGAAGUGGCUUACCAAGGCUUAGACGGGUAGCCGGCCUGAGCGGGUGACCGGCCACAUUGGGACUGAGAUACGACCCAGACUCCUACGGGGGGCAGCAGUGAGGAAUAUUGCGCAGUGGGCGGAAGCCUGAUGCAGCAACGCCGCGUGCGAGAUGACGGUCUUCGGGUUGUAAACCGCUUUCGCCUGUGACGAAGCGUGAGUGACGGUAAUGGGUAGAGAAGCACCGACUAACAACGUG